AGAGUUUGAUCCUGGCUCAGGACGAACGCUGGCGGCGUGCUUAACACAUGCAAGUCGAACGGUGACCUCGAGAGCUUGCUCUCGAGUGAUCAGUGGCGAACGGGGUGAGUAACACGUGAGUAACCUACCCCUGACUCUGGAAUAACAAUUGGAAACAGUUGCUAAUACCGGAUACGACACGAGCGGGCAUCCGCAUCGUGUGGAAAGUUUUUCGGUCUGGGAUGGACUCGCGGCCUAUCAGCUUGUUGGUGAGGUAACGGCUCACCAAGGCGACGACGGGUAGCCGGCCUAAGAGGGCGACCGGCCACACUGGGACUGAGACACGGCCCAGACUCCUACGGGAGGCAGCAGUGGGGAAUAUUGCACAAUGGGCGAAAGCCUGAUGCAGCGACGCCGCGUGAGGGAUGACGGCCUUCGGGUUGUAAACCUCUUUCAGUAGGGAAGAAGCGAAAGUGACGGUACCUACAGAAGAAGCACCGGCUAACUACGUGCCAGCAGCCGCGGUAAUACGUAGGGUGCGAGCGUUGUCCGGAAUUAUUGGGCGUAAAGAGCUUGUAGGCGGUCUGUCGCGUCUGCCGUGAAAAUCCGGGGCUCAACCCCGGACUUGCGGUGGGUACGGGCAGACUAGAGUGUGGUAGGGGAGACUGGAAUUCCUGGUGUAGCGGUGAAAUGCGCAGAUAUCAGGAGGAACACCGAUGGC
rnacentral:rRNA from 1 species